UACGUAGGGUGCAAGCGUUGUCCGGAAUUAUUGGGCGUAAAGAGCUCGUAGGCGGCCUGUUGCGUCCGCUGUGAAAUCCCGGGGCUUAACCCCGGGCGUGCAGUGGAUACGGGCAGGCUGGAGGCAGGCAGGGGAGAACGGAAUUCCCGGUGUAGCGGUGAAAUGCGCAGAUAUCGGGAGGAACACCGGUGGCGAAGGCGGUUCUCUGGGCCUGUACUGACGCUGAGGAGCGAAAGCGUGGGGAGCGAACAGG
rnacentral:rRNA from 1 species